CUCCUACGGGAGGCAGCAGUGGGGAAUAUUGGACAAUGGGGGCAACCCUGAUCCAGCAAUGCCGCGUGAGUGAUGAAGGCCUUCGGGUUGUAAAGCUCUUUCGGCGGGGAAGAUGAUGACGGUACCCGCAGAAGAAGCCCCGGCUAACUUCGUGCCAGCAGCCGCGGUAAUACGAAGGGGGCUAGCGUUGUUCGGAAUUACUGGGCGUAAAGGGCGCGUAGGCUGUGCUGUAAGUCAGGCGUGAAAUCCCCGGGCUCAACCUGGGAAUUGCGCAUGAUACUGCGGCGCUGGAAUGCAGGAGAGGAUGGCGGAAUUCCCAGUGUAGAGGUGAAAUUCGUAGAUAUUGGGAAGAACACCGGUGGCGAAGGCGGCCAUCUGGCCUGCAAUUGACGCUGAGGCGCGAAAGCGUGGGGAGCAAACAGGAUUAGAUACCCUGGUAGUCCACGCCGUAAACGAUGAGUGCUAGACGUCGGGGGGCUUGCCCUUCGGUGUCGCCGCUAACGCAUUAAGC
rnacentral:rRNA from 1 species